GUGGAUUAGAUACCCGGGUAGUCCUGGCAGUAAACGGUGCACGUUUGGUGUGGGCGCAAUCGACCGCGUCCGCGCCGGAGCUAACGCGUUAAACGUGCCGCCUGGGAAGUACGGUCGCAAGAUUAAAACUCAAAGAAAUUGACGGGGACCCGCACAAGCGGUGGAGUAUGUGGCUUAAUUCGAUGCAACGCGAAGAACCUUACCUGGUCUUGACAUGCAUUGUGUCUCCGGUGAAAGCCGGAUAGGGUAGCAAUACCCGCUUUGCACAGGUGCUGCACGGUCGUCGACAACU
rnacentral:rRNA from 1 species